rnacentral:rRNA from 1 species
UACGUAGGGUGCAAGCGUUGUUCGGAAUUACUGGGCGUAAAGGGCGCGUAGGUGGCGGCCCAAGUCAAUGGUGAAAGCUCGUAGCUCAACGACGAGUCGGCCACGGAUACUGGGUUGCUCGAGCACUGUAGAGGCAGAUGGAAUUCCGGGUGUAGCGGUGGAAUGCGUAGAGAUCCGGAAGAACACCGGUGGCGAAGGCGGUCUGCUGGGCAGUAGCUGACACUGAGGCGCGACAGCGUGGGGAGCAAACAGG